UUUAAUAUGGCAGAUUAGUGCAAUGAAUUUAAACUUCAUAUAUAAAGUAAAACUCUUUUAUUAAAA
rnacentral:tRNA from 1 species